rnacentral:rRNA from 1 species
AUGCAGAUCUUCGUGAAGACCCUCACCGGGAAGACUAUCACCCUCGAGGUGGAGUCCUCCGACACCAUCGACAAUGUUAAGGCGAAGAUUCAAGACAAGGAGGGCAUCCCGCCGGACCAGCAGCGUCUGAUCUUCACAGGCAAGCAGCUCGAGGAUGGCCGUACUCUUGCUGAUUACAACAUUCAGAAGGAGUCCACCCUGCACCUGGUGCUCCGCCUCCGUGGUGGCCAGUGA